rnacentral:tRNA from 1 species
UUGGAUCACCUCCUAACAGGGAGACAAACAACGAUUUUGAUGCCUGAGUACUUUUAUUCUUAGGCCGAAAUCCUGUCACCUUAGGUCGAUCGGUACCUCAACUUCAAUCCUGUGAGUCGCAAGACUGCACAACGAUUGAUUUUUAGUUCCUAAACUUUGUCUAGUUCACAACCCAUUAGGGAUGAGACUCCUGGGCCAUUAGCUCAGGUGGUUAGAGCGCACCCCUGAUAAGGGUGAGGUCCCUGGUUCAAGUCCAGGAUGGCCCAUUCGGUGUAGGGGGUUUAGCUCAGUUGGUAGAGCGCCUGCUUUGCAAGCAGGAUGUCAGGAGUUCGAGUCUCCUAACCUCCACUGACCGAACUUUAUCCCCGCUCCAUGUAAUGGAGUUGAGCUCGAUUGGAGUGUGAUUUAGAUUUGUCCGCUGGAUGACCCCAGCUUCCUGUCAUUCCAAGUUUUAGGUUAAAAGCCUUGAAUUUGGUUGAUAAGAUGCUGGGCUCAGAUCAGGUGAUCAAGCAAUUGAUGAUUUGAUUUGAAGUCUGGCAGAACCUUGACAACUGCAUAGGUGAGUCUGGAAAGAAUAAAGCAUCUCAUGGAUGAUGCGAUGACUCUGAAUGAUGACCCGAAAGGGUGAUGAUGAGGGAGUGAUUGCAAAUUCUAUCGAGCAAGAGCCGAGACUCCAUCACGUUCUUCUGAUUGUGUCGAGCAAUGAGGAGUUAGAUCUUUGAUUCAGUAAUGAAUCAGAGAGAAUCUGUUUCAACGACAGCAAGCGUGUUGGAGAUACAUUGGUCAAGCUACAAAGGGCUCACGGUGGAUACCUUGGCACACAGAGGCGAUGAAGGA